UACGUAGGGGGCCAGCGUUGUUCGGAAUUACUGGGUGUAAAGGGUUCGUAGGCGGUGUGGCAAGUCGGGAGUGAAAUCUCUGGGCUCAACCCAGAGUCUGCUUCCGAAACUGCUGUGCUUGAGUGUGGGAGAGGCGCGUGGAAUUGCAGGUGUAGCGGUGAAAUGCGUAGAUAUCUGCAGGAACACCCGUGGCGAAAGCGGCGCGCUGGACCACUACUGACGCUGAGGAACGAAAGCUAGGGGAGCAAACGGG
rnacentral:rRNA from 1 species